rnacentral:lncRNA from 1 species
UCCCCCUGUCUCCUCUAAAGACAACCUCUGACCCAUCCUGACAUCUGAACUUAACUACCUUGUCUCUGCAAUCCAAGGUAGCACCAUGGGUAGAUAGCCAGUCCAUCCCUAGAAUGACGUCAAAAUCUGUCAAAUCUAGAACCACAAGGUCGGCGGAUGGGCAUCUUCCCUCUAUGAAAACUGGACUGUACUGGCAGACUGACUCUGCCACUGACGGGUCACAUUUGGGUCCACUAACCCAUAGGGGACACUCUAACCCAGAGACCAUCAAACCCAACCUCUCGACUGCUCUCGGAGAAACAAAAGAAUGGGAUGCACCCGGGUCCAUUAAGGCAUAAACAUCUGAACAACCAAUGAUGAUAUUACCUGACACCACGGUG